GUGGGCGUGUCGGAGCGGUUAUCGGGCAUGACUUGAAAUCAUGUGGGCUUUGUCCGUGUAGGUUCGAAUCCUGCUGCUCAUG